rnacentral:rRNA from 1 species
GAUGAACGCUGGCGGCGUGCCUAAUACAUGCAAGUCGAGCGAACGGACGAGAAGCUUGCUUCUCUGAUGUUAGCGGCGGACGGGUGAGUAACACGUGGAUAACCUACCUAUAAGACUGGGAUAACUUCGGGAAACCGGAGCUAAUACCGGAUAAUAUUUUGAACCGCAUGGUUCAAAAGUGAAAGACGGUCUUGCUGUCACUUAUAGAUGGAUCCGCGCUGCAUUAGCUAGUUGGUAAGGUAACGGCUUACCAAGGCAACGAUGCAUAGCCGACCUGAGAGGGUGAUCGGCCACACUGGAACUGAGACACGGUCCAGACUCCUACGGGAGGCAGCAGUAGGGAAUCUUCCGCAAUGGGCGAAAGCCUGACGGAGCAACGCCGCGUGAGUGAUGAAGGUCUUCGGAUCGUAAAACUCUGUUAUUAGUGAAGAACAUAUGUGUAAGUAACUGUGCACAUCUUGACGGUACCUAAUCAGAAAGCCACGGCUAACUACGUGCCAGCAGCCGCGGUAAUACGUAGGUGGCAAGCGUUAUCCGGAAUUAUUGGGCGUAAAGCGCGCGUAGGCGGUUUUUUAAGUCUGAUGUGAAAGCCCACGGCUCAACCGUGGAGGGUCAUUGGAAACUGGAAAACUUGAGUGCAGAAGAGGAAAGUGGAAUUCCAUGUGUAGCGGUGAAAUGCGCAGAGAUAUGGAGGAACACCAGUGGCGAAGGCGACUUUCUGGUCUGUAACUGACGCUGAUGUGCGAAAGCGUGGGGAUCAAACAGGAUUAGAUACCCUGGUAGUCCACGCCGUAAACGAUGAGUGCUAAGUGUUAGGGGGUUUCCGCCCCUUAGUGCUGCAGCUAACGCAUUAAGCACUCCGCCUGGGGAGUACGACCGCAAGGUUGAAACUCAAAGGAAUUGACGGGGACCCGCGCAAGCGGUGGAGCAUGUGGUUUAAUUCGAAGCAACGCGAAGAACCUUACCAAAUCUUGACAUCCUUUGACAACUCUAGAGAUAGAGCCUUCCCCUUCGGGGGACAAAGUGACAGGUGGUGCAUGGUUGUCGUCAGCUCGUGUCGUGAGAUGUUGGGUUAAGUCCCGCAACGAGCGCAACCCUUAAGCUUGGUUGCCAUCAUUAAGUUGGGCACUCUAAGUUGACUGCCGGUGACAAACCGGAGGAAGGUGGGGAUGACGUCAAAUCAUCAUGCCCCUUAUGAUUUGGGCUACACACGUGCUACAAUGGACAAUACAAAGGGCAGCGAAACCGCGAGGUCAAGCAAAUCCCAUAAAGUUGUUCUCAGUUCGGAUUGUAGUCUGCAACUCGACUACAUGAAGCUGGAAUCGCUAGUAAUCGUAGAUCAGCAUGCUACGGUGAAUACGUUCCCGGGUCU